rnacentral:antisense_RNA from 1 species
AGCCCAGCAGGCCGGUCCAUACUGGCUUGGGCUGGACAGAGCUGGAGCCCACGUGGUGCCUGGCCUUGCUUAACCGAGAGAACAAAGUGGAAGAGAUGCCCUGUGGCAGUCAGUUUCUGGGCAUGGAUCUUAAGAAACUGACAACUUCUAUGUCCUAUCUCUUGGGCUGCUCAUGUUCCCAGCUACUCUGCUGUGAGGAAGACCACAUGGUCACAUGUAGAGGCCGUAUGCCAGGGUCCUGCCCACAGCCCAGCCUUGCACAUGAGUGGGCCGUCUUGGGCUGGCCCAACAGCCACCACGCAGAGCAGGCAGUUUUUCUCACCGGGCUCUGCUCAACCUGUAGAUUCGGCAUCAAACAAUAAUUGGCUUUAAACGAA